AGCACGGACGUACUUUUCGCUGCUCUGAAGCUUGUCUAGGCCUAUUGCUGUUCUAGCCGAUCCCUUCUGCUGUUCUAGCCGAGGGCCCUUCAAGGGCCCUCUUUGUUAAUUGCCACUGGGCGGACUGUCCUCCGCUGAUACGAUGAAAACCAGGAUGGACCUCCAGACGGGUUCUGUCCAGCACGGAGUGACAGGAGCCGUUCACCGGUAGAUCGGCGGCCACCGGGCGGAAUGCACGACGACGAUCCGGUCCUGCCUUCUUCAAAGGAUCCAAAUGCACUGCAGAAUUGGUCCGAUGCCACUGAAGUUGGGGAUGGUGAGUUACCGUCAGCGGUUACCUUCUCCCCGCCUCAAUCCCCUUGUGACGCCACCAUCUGAUAUGGAGGGUGUCGAAGAUGGGAAUGACCCUUUCACUCUUGUAACAUAUCCCAAGAAUAGAGCAAAGGGGAUACGAGUUGUUUUCAAGCCCCUUCAGGAAAAUCUUGUCAUUCUGGAAGGUGAAUCCCAACACUGUGGCCAAAGAGAUAUGUUCUGCAGCCCAAGAGAAAAUCCUGAGUCACCGUUUUAACCGUGACGGAAACAUAUGUGUGUGCGUGUAACUUCUGAAGGAGCAGUAGCAAACCUGAUGGGCCUUAAAACGGUCGCCGGACUGGAUGUUGCAGUCAUCAUUCCGUCAUCGUAUCUGAACAACAUGAGUAAAAUUUAUGAUGUACCACUUGACUACGAGGACGAGGAUAUUGCCUCUUACUUGGCAGAGGAAGGUGUCACUUCGGCUCGCCGACAACGACGUCAUGCCUAUAUAUGGAGGGGGGUUUAGACUACUAUAAGCCACCCAAGUCAAUAAUUCUUACGUUCAAAUCCAACAUGAAGCUGCCGAAGACCCUUCCGCUGGGUUUCAAUACUUACCAAGUCUCUGAGUACGUUGAAGGCCCCGUCCAGUGUUACAAGUGCCAACGUUUUGGUCACCUGGCGCGCUCUUGUCGAGGGUCAACACGGUGCAUGAUAUGUGCUGGGCCUCAUAAGUUUAAGGAAUGCACUGCUUGGAGGCACCCUAAAUGUGGCAACUGUGGCGGUCCUCACGCCGCUUCUCACUCCACGUGCCCAAAGAAGCGGGUGGCAACAGUGGCGCACCAGACUGAAGUCUUGAACCAAACAAGCCCAUCGCCUCCGAACAGCAGUUCGCGACGUGGCCAACAACGGCGUGUCGGCGCCUCGCGUCCCAAUCCACACCCGGAACCGCCCAAGAACGUUCGCGGAAAUGUCAUGCUGGCUAACAGGACCCCCAGACAAUUUGCAACACUUCAAGCACCUACCAGAGUGUAAGUGCAAUCGCUAACCUGCGCCAGCGAUUCGUGGUGCUCCCGAUGUGAUAUGGCAGCAGUGAGAUCAAGAUUUCACGCAAUUGCUGGCUUCCCUGGAGUAACAGGGUGCAUUGACUCCACGCACGUUUCUAUCGCAAGUCCGGGUGGAGGAAUGGCGGAGCUAUUUCCCAACAGAAAAGGAACCUUUUCAAUUAAUGUCCAGGUACUCUCUUGUCCCAACCUGGAAUUUUUCGAUGUUGUAGCCAGCUGGCCGGGAUCAACACGUGACAGCAGAAUCCUGCAAAAUAGCAGGUUUGGGCACCUCUUGCAAACACAGCAAUAUCCUGGAAUUAUUCUCUGGGAUGCUGGAUAUGCAUGCAAGUCAUACCUACUCACCCCUCUUCAGUCACCACAAACUUCCAGUGAGAAAAGGUACAACAGGGCCCAAACCUCGACCCGCAAUUCUGUGGAACGUGAAUUUGGGGUGUGGAAAAGACGGUUUCCCUGCGUAAGAAGUAAACUGUGCACAAAGCUCGACACAAGCAUUACAAUCAUUGUGGCAGUGGCACUGUACAACUUCGCACUACAGAGAAGAGAUGCGCAUACUGAUACAAUCAGUGCAGUUGCCCUCGAAGAAGACAAUGUUGAUCCCCCUGAACAAAAUGAUAACUUGGGCAGAUUCUUGGGCAGAAAUGUUAGGCGUGCAUUUAAUCGAGAACGCUUUUAGAUGACAGAAUG